AAGAGGGGCGAAAACUCCCUUUUAUUGUUUACGCACCCUCGCAACCAAAAUUUAUAAGUUACGACAUGUCGCAACUAACAAUUUAGUAAAAAAAAAUUGUCGAUAUCUUAUAAGGUUAAUGAAAAAAGGUGAAAAAUAAGCCAAAAUCAAAAUUAAGAAUUUGACCUUGACCUUUGACCUUGACCUAAUUUUCAUUUUUUUGGACCAAGGAUCUUAAAUCAAAAGACCCUAGGUCUCUAUCACUUAUAGUUUACCAGUUAGAAAUGCAUAUCACUGAUAUCAUAUAUAAAAGGGGGAUAACUCUCAUAUGGAGUCUCCGGAUAGCUUCGGUUGAAAUGAAACAGAACAUCCUAAGGAUAUAACGAGCAAUUUGGAAAAAUAAAUUUGUCGGUUUCUUAUACGGUUGCGAAGUAGUAGUGGCCACAAGAAAAACAGUGUUUGGGGAGAUAACUCUUACAAGGUAAAGUUUUUGUUACGCGGUUGUCAGUUUCAGAAGCGUAUUAAACUGUUCGAUAUCAUAUACCAAAUAUCUAAGCGACAUCUUGUGAAACAAAAAAACAGCGAAGGAAAAAAAAGUUGGCGGAAGAAAAAAAAAAAAAAAAUAAUAAUAAUAAUAAUAAUAAUAAUAAUAAUCAGAACAAAUAUAGGUCUUUCAACUGAAAGGUUGAAAGACCUAAUUAAAAACCAAUUGUUCAGAGAACAAUUGUAGGUCUUUCCACUAGUAAAGAUCUAUUUUGAUAUUGAAAUAUUAAAAAUCAGUUUAAAAUGUUAGUUCCUAUGGCUUUAUGAUGUAUUUAUAUGAAUUUAAAGCAAAGGUCAAAAUCUAGAACGUCAUAUUAACCUAUGACCUUGACCUCAAUUUCAAGUUCACAAACCAAGGACCUUAAAUCAAAAGACCCAAGGUCUUUAAUAUGUUUGGUUUAUUAGUAAUAUCACUUUACGCGUAAUUCUAAAUGUAAGAUGGGCAAAAACUCCCAUUUAUUGUCUGCGCACCCUUUCAAUCAAAAUAUACAAGUAAGGACAUGUCGCAACUAACAAUUUAUGAAAAAAUUAUUUGUCGAUAUGUCAUAAGGUAUUUGAAAAUAAAUGAAAAUAAGCCAAAAUCAAAAUUUAGAAUAUGACCUUGACCUUUGACCUUGACCUCAUUUUUAUUAUUUUCGACCAAGGACCCCAAAUCUAAAGACCCUAUGUCUUUAUCACUUAUGGUUUACCAUUUAGAAAUGCAUAUCACUUAAUUAAAUGGAAAAGGGGGAAUAACUCUCAUAUGGAGUCUCCGUAAAGCUUCGGUCCAAAUGAAUAUCCUAAUCCUGAAGAUGUAACGAGCAAUUUGGUAAAAUAAAUUUGUCGUAAUCUUUAACGGUUGCGAAGGAGUAGUGGCCACAAGAAAAACAGUGUUUGGGGAGAUAACUCUUACAACGUAAAGUAUUUUGUUACGCAGUUGUAAAUUUUUAAAGCGUAUAAACUAUACGAUACCAUAUUCCAAAUAUCUAAGCGACAUCUUUUGAAACAUCAAAAAUACGCAAGAAAAAAAAUUAGGCGGAAGAAAAAAAAAAAAAAUAAUAAUAAUAAUAAUCAGAACAAAUUCAAUAGGUCUUUCCACGGAAAGGUGGAAAGACC
rnacentral:lncRNA from 1 species